AUGGCACAAGAGCCAGGGUCCCCUUCCCAGCACACUGGAUGUGCCUGUGGCUUUCCUGUGUGCAGGAUCAACCCUGAAGCUCAGUCUUUAUCCCACAGACAAGGCAGACAGACAGAGACACAAACACAGACACAGAGACACACACAGAGACACAUGAAUCACACAGAGACAUAUAGACACAGAAAGAGAGACAUAAACACAGACACAGAGACACAGAGACAUAGAGACAUAGAGACAAAAACACAAACACACACACACAGAAACAGACAAACACACAGGCAUACAUACAGACUCUCACACACACAGGUACACUCUGAUUCACUCAGCCACACAACCUGCCCUGGACAAGCUGCUGCCUUCACCAUUGCCCACAUCCUCCCAGCAGAACCCCUCACGACACAAGAGGAGACAGCAAGGAGCACUCCAGGCUCCCUCAAGCACUGGCACAGCCCCUCUGCCCAUCCAACACCCCAGCCUGCAUCCUGCACCCUCUGCCCAGUCCCACGGCUGCCCUGCUCGCUGUCUGGCACAGCCUGCUGCUCCCAGCACCUGGAGGCAGCGCUCACACGCUCCCCCCAGGGCACCCCACACUCCCCAGACACACCCCCCAACUCCUCACAUCCCCCCACGCCCGGCACGGCCACACGGGCUCUGAGCUGUGCUCCUGCUCCAGCUACCAGUGCAGCUCCUCCUCACCCCACUCAUGCUUCUUCCCAGGAGCUGCUUCCGUGCACACUCGGGACCCACCCCAGAUCAGGGGGAAAAUCCUCCUUGUCCCUGCCCACAGCUGUGCCUGGGGUAUCCUGGUGGCCCUUCAAGGGGGACUGGAGAUUUUGGGAGCCAACUUGGACAGGUGCCCUCCGCGAUCUCUUGCUCAUUACCACAGAGGGUCUCUCCAGCCCAGCGCCCAUUGGUGGCCAUCUCAGCCACGGCCACCACAUGGCCACUGAACUUCAAAUCUCUGGUGACAGGAUGAAAAGUGCCAGCAAACCUUCAACCCUGGCCUUGAGGGGAGCAGGCUUCAGGCUGCUCAGGGGUGAAUUACAGAGGGCCCCUGGGAAAUGGCUCUGGAAGGUGCUGGGGUCCUGCCUUGGGGAUGGUUCGUACCCAGAGCCAGUUCAGUUUUGGUUUGUGUCGGGAGCUGUCACUGUAGCCCCCCGACUCAGGAAUAUGACGAAGGGUGAAGGGUGGCCCAGGACUCUGGGUGGGGCUGGGGCCAGGGGCUGCUCUUCCUUCCAUCAGGGGUGA
rnacentral:lncRNA from 1 species